CCUACGGGGGGCUGCAGUAAGGAAUAUUGGACAAUGGAGGCAACUCUGAUCCAGCCAUGCCGCGUGAAGGAUGAAGGCGCUACGCGUUGUAAACUUCUUUUCUACUAGAAAAAACAUUUGGUUUCGUACCGAAUCUGAUUGUACAGUAGGAAUAAGCAUCGGCUAACUUCGUGCCAGCAGCCGCGGUAAUACGAAGGAUGCAAGCGUUAUCCGGAUUUACUGGGUUUAAAGGGUGUGCAGGUGGGAUAAUAAGUCAGUGGUGAAAGCCCCCGACU
rnacentral:rRNA from 1 species